UUUAAGUGCAGAAUACUGGUCUAAAUUGAGAUUUAGUUGCAACUAUGACAUUAGGGGGCAGCACCUGUCCUGAUUCAUUAGUGCAACACUUGGGCAACUCCCAUUUCCAAGAUGGUGGCACCCAUGAAACCAGGCUCCAGCAAAAACAUUGCAGAAAGCGAGGUUCACAGGUUAAUAGAAGACUCAGAGAGCUUCCCAUGGGCUCACAGCAUGUGGGAGGGCGUCCCUGCUAAAGCUACUGGCCCCGCGACCCGACCAUAAGCGGUUGAAAAUGGACGGAUGGAUGGAUCCUCAUUAGGGUCGCAGGCUAGAACGGCAAAUGAUUAUGGAGAAGACGUCUGGGAAGCAAUAUCCCAUCUUCAGCCAGAAGAGAACAGUUCUCAUAGAUGGACACGCUGGCAAACACAAAUACCCUCCACGCCCCUGGCACCGCGUCGAGAACUUCACCAAGCAAUCAAGAUUUCCAAAAAAAGUUAUAGCCAUUGUACAUGCACAGUUUGGACAUUUACAGGUAAUUCAGCGAUUCUGUCACGUACCACUAGAGGAAGCUCACGUGCCACUACCACGUUUUAGGAUCACUAAUUUUGGUUGUAAAAUCACCUUACGUGUACACUAUGUCUUUGGAAUGUGGGAGGAAGUUGGAGUUCAUCCCAAGAAAGCCCCAUGGAAGCAUGGGAGAGAAUAAACUCCAGACUUUCGAACACAUAACCUCUUGGUUGCGCUAACCGCUAGACCACCGUGCAGCCUCUCCUUCUGUUUAUUUCCAUUAUGUGCAAGGCUCCACUUAACUAUGAAGGAAAGAACACAUUUCAUCAUUUGGAGGACAGGCCUAA